rnacentral:rRNA from 1 species
CCUACGGGGCGCAGCAGUGGGGGAUAUUGCACAAUGGGGGGAACCCUGAUGCAGCGACGCCGCGUGUGGGCAGACGGUCCUCUGGAUUAUCAACCACUGUCCCCAGGGACGAAAAUGACGGUACCUGGGGAGGAAGCUCCGGCUAACUACGUGCCAGCAGCCGCGGUAAUACGUAGGGAGCGCGCGUUGUCCGGAAUUACUGGGUGUAAAGGGAGCGUAGGCGGGGAUGCAAGUUGGGUGUCAAAACUACCGGCUAAACUGGUAGUCGCACUCAAAACUGCAGCUCUUGAGUGAAGUAGAGGCAGGCGGAAUUCCUAGUGUAGCGGUGAAAUGCGUAGAUAUUAGGAGGAACACCAGUGGCGAAGGCGGCCUGCUGGGCUUUUACUGACGCUGAGGCUCGAAAGUGUGGGGAGCAAACAGGAUUAGAUACCCUAGUAGUC